CAAGAGGGGAGAGAAGAGAGGAGAGAAUAACAUCAUCAGAAAAGACAGCUGCUGCCGACUAACCUACACACACACAAACAUACAUCACAUUAUCUGUGCUUUCCCAAAUAACGCAUUUGGAUGCAUCCCCACCCCUUACUGUCCUCUGAGGAGUGUUAAAGACACUUUGUAAACAUCUUAAUCUUACUUUCUAGAUUUCUUAAGAGCUGAACACUUCCCAAAUUAUUUGAUAUUGGAAAUGAAUGCCUUGGGCUCAUUAAUUGCUGUGACCCUGGCACACACACACACACAUACAUACAUACACACACAUGUGUGCAUCAUUGUGAAGUGUGCAGUGGUAACAGCUACAGCAGGCAUAACACUCAGUGAAGGCAGACUACAGACUGAACACACAGAACAGAUGUCUGUGAAUGAUCCCAAUUCAUACAGUUACUGAAUUAACCAUUAAGACUUACAUCUCAGCAAACGUGGUCGAGCUCUGCUUACUGAAGCAUGGUCAGUUCUAAGCUUCUCCAGUUUACAGACAGGAUCCUCCAGUCUAACAGAUAACAGCUUCAGUCCUGAUUCUCCGGGAUGAUUGUAGCUCAGAUCCAGC